GAUGAACGCUGGCGGCGUGCCUAAUACAUGCAAGUCGAGCGAACGGACGAGAAGCUUGCUUCUCUUAUGUUAGCGGCGGACGGGGGAGUAACACGUGGAGAACCUACCUAUAAGACUGGGAUAACUUCGGGAAACCGGAGCUAAAACCGGAAAAUAUUUGGAACCGCAUGGUUCAAAAGUUUAAGGCGGUUUUGCUUUCACUUAUAGAUGGAUCCGGUGUGCAUUAGGUAGUUGGUAAGGUAACGGCUUACCAAGGCAACGAUGCCUAGCCGACCUGAGAGGGUGACCAGCCACACUGGAACUGAGACACGGUCCAGACUCCUACGGGAGGCAGCAGUUGGGAAUAUUUCGCAAUGGGCGAAAGCCUGAUGGAGCCAUGCCGCGUGGAUGAAGAAGGCCUUCGGGUUGUAAAACCCUUUUAGCGGGGAAGAAGAUGUUGAGAAGUAACUGUGCACAUCUUGACGGUACCUAAUCAGAAAGCCACGGCUAACUACGUG
rnacentral:rRNA from 1 species